CUACGGGUCGCUGCAGGCGAGAAAACUUUGCAAUGUGCGAAAGCACGACAAGGUUAAUCCGAGUGGUUUGUGCUAAACGAACCUUUUGACAGUCCUAGAAACACUGUUGAAUAAGGGGUGGGCAAGUUCUGGUGUCAGCCGCCGCGGUAAAACCAGCACCUCAAGUGGUCAGGAUGAUUAUUGGGCCUAAAGCAUCCGUAGCCGGCUCUGUAAGUUUUCGGUUAAAUCUGUACGCUCAACGUACAGGCUGCCGGGAAUACUGCAGAGCUAGGGAGUGGGAGAGGUAGACGGUACUCGGUAGGAAGGGGUAAAAUCCUUUGAUCUACUGAUGACCACCUGUGGCGAAGGCGGUCUACCAGAACACGUCCGAGGGUGAGGGAUGAAAGCUGGGGGAGCAAACCGGAUUAGAUACCCGUGUAGUC
rnacentral:rRNA from 1 species